rnacentral:rRNA from 1 species
UACGGGGGGGGGCAAGCGUUGUUCGGAAUUACUGGGCGUAAAGGGCUCGUAGGCGGCCAACUAAGUCAGACGUGAAAUCCCUCGGCUUAACCGGGGAACUGCGUCUGAUACUGGAUGGCUUGAAUCCGGGAGAGGGAUGCGGAAUUCCAGGUGUAGCGGUGAAAUGCGUAGAUAUCUGGAGGAACACCGGUGGCGAAGGCGACAUCCUGGACCGGUAUUGACGCUGAGUGAGCGAAAGCCAGGGGAGCAAACAGG